rnacentral:rRNA from 1 species
UUCGGGGUACACGAGCGGCGAACGGGUGAGUAACACGUGGGUGAUCUGCCUCGCACUUCGGGAUAAGCCUGGGAAACUGGGUCUAAUACCGGAUAUGACCUGCUGUCGCAUGGCGGUGGGUGGAAAGAUUUAUCGGUGCGAGAUGGGCCCGCGGCCUAUCAGCUUGUUGGUGGGGUAAUGGCCUACCAAGGCGACGACGGGUAGCCGGCCUGAGAGGGCGACCGGCCACACUGGGACUGAGACACGGCCCAGACUCCUACGGGAGGCAGCAGUGGGGAAUAUUGCACAAUGGGCGAAAGCCUGAUGCAGCGACGCCGCGUGAGGGAUGACGGCCUUCGGGUUGUAAACCUCUUUCGACAGGGACGAAGCGUAAGUGACGGUACCUGUAGAAGAAGCACCGGCCAACUACGUGCCAGCAGCCGCGGUAAUACGUAGGGUGCGAGCGUUGUCCGGAAUUACUGGGCGUAAAGAGCUUGUAGGCGGUUUGUCGCGUCGUCCGUGAAAACUUGGGGCUCAACCCCAAGCUUGCGGGCGAUACGGGCAGACUUGAGUACUGCAGGGGAGACUGGAAUUCCUGGUGUAGCGGUGAAAUGCGCAGAUAUCAGGAGGAACACCGGUGGCGAAGGCGGGUCUCUGGGCAGUAACUGACGCUGAGAAGCGAAAGCGUGGGUAGCGAACAGGAUUAGAUACCCUGGUAGUCCACGCCGUAAACGGUGGGUACUAGGUGUGGGUUUCCUUCCACGGGAUCCGUGCCGUAGCUAACGCAUUAAGUACCCCGCCUGGGGAGUACGGCCGCAAGGCUAAAACUCAAAGGAAUUGACGGGGGCCCGCACAAGCGGCGGAGCAUGUGGAUUAAUUCGAUGCAACGCGAAGAACCUUACCUGGGUUUGACAUACACCGGAAACCUGCAGAGAUGUAGGCCCCCUUGUGGUCGGUGUACAGGUGGUGCAUGGCUGUCGUCAGCUCGUGUCGU